UGGGAGCAGGACAGUGAUGGUAGCAAAGAAUGAGGGCGAGGGAUAAGAGCAGGAGGAGGGGGGUGGGAAAGUAUUAGAGGCAUAUGGGCCCAGGGAGCUCUACCAGCCCUCUUAUGACUCUACAGGAAGAAAGACACACACGGCUGAGGAUGAGCCCAGCGUUAGAAAAGCAGAGAGCCGCUGGAGGGCAGGACGGCAGAAAGAGGAGGAGACAGUGGAGGAAGGGAAGUAAAUGCCAGCGAAGAACAAACUAAAGAGAAAAGGACGAAGACUAUGACUUUCAUCCCACAGGUCCUCACUGAUAAAAGUGAGGGCAAUCUAAGUUUCAGGUCCUCACCUCCAUGAUGGGAUUGGAAGCCAAGACCUUCUCCUCCACGUUGGCUUCGCUAGCAGAGCCGCUGACUGUAGCGAAGUACCUCAUGGCGUAUUUGGCCGAUACCGUCUUCCCUGCUCCGGACUCCCCACUCACAAUGAUUGACUGGUUCCUCUCGUCCCUGAUAAUAAAUAAUAUGAACAAUUA